rnacentral:rRNA from 1 species
CAGCAGCCGCGGGAAUACGGAGGGUGCAAGCGUUAUCCGGAUUUAUUGGGUUUAAAGGGUCCGUAGGCGGACUUAUAAGUCAGUGGUGAAAGCCUGUCGCUUAACGAUAGAACUGCCAUUGAUACUGUAAGUCUUGAGUAUAUUUGAGGUAGCUGGAAUAAGUAGUGUAGCGGUGAAAUGCAUAGAUAUUACUUAGAACACCAAUUGCGAAGGCAGGUUACCAAGAUAUAACUGACGCUGAGGGACGAAAGCGUGGGUAGCGAACAGGAUUAGAUACCCGAGUAGUCCCUGUCUCUUAUAU